AAUUUUCCUUCUCCUUUUACCAACAUUUUGUGCGGAAUUAUUUUUGUGGAAAGAAGAUACACAGCAGUUGUCUUAAACAGAUUGAUAAAGGAAGCUGGCAAACAAGAUCCAGAGCUGGCUUAUAUCAGUAGCAAUUUUAUAACUGGACAUGGCAUUGGGAAGAAUCAGCCUCGCAACAAACAGAUGGAAGCAGAAUUCAGAAAACAGGAAGAGAAUAUCGAUCCUAUGUUCAAUCUAAAGGAAGAGCAAGGGCACCCAUCUCUAAUUAUAUAAUGUUAGCGGAUACAGACAAAAUAAAAAGUUUUGAAGAAGACCUUAAAACCUACAAAGCUAUUGAAAAGAUCUUGAGAAACAAGUGUUCCAAGUCGGUUGAUACUGGUGAGAUUGACAUUGAUCCUGUCAUGGAUGAUGAUGACGUUUUCCCACCAUAUGUGUUGAGGCCUGACGAUGGUGGUCCACGAGUCACAAUCAACACGGCCAUUGGACACAUCAAUAGAUACUGUGCUAGAUUACCAAGUGAUCCGUUUACUCAUCUAGCUCCUAAAUGCAGAACCCGAGAGUUGCCUGAUGGUACAUUUUAUUCAACUCUUU
rnacentral:sRNA from 1 species